CAGAUUACUUUUAAGUCUGAAGGGUUCUAUUCAAAUCUUGAAAUGUCUUUUGACUUUAUAUUUGAAAACCUGUAUGCAUGUGCAUUCAUGAAGGGUAGAGACAUGAUGAAUGUUCUCACCUGAGUUAGAACCAAACCCAGCGCAGGCAGCUGCCCUGAGCUUUGUUAUUACAAUUUUGGCCUGACAUGCGAGUUGGAAAAU
ensembl:misc_RNA